rnacentral:rRNA from 1 species
CGCGGCCUAUCAGCUUGUUGGUGGGGUGAUGGCCUACCAAGGCGUCGACGGGUAGCCGGCCUGAGAGGGCGACCGGCCACACUGGGACUGAGACACGGCCCAGACUCCUACGGGAGGCAGCAGUGGGGAAUAUUGCACAAUGGGCGAAAGCCUGAUGCAGCGACGCCGCGUGAGGGAUGACGGCCUUCGGGUUGUAAACCUCUUUCAGCAGGGAAGAAGGCCUUCGGGUGGACGGUACCUGCAGAAGAAGCGCCGGCUAACUACGUGCCAGCAGCCGCGGUAAUACGUAGGGCGCAAGCGUUGUCCGGAAUUAUUGGGCGUAAAGAGCUCGUAGGCGGUUUGUCGCGUCUGGUGUGAAAACCUCAGGCUCAACCUGGGGCGUGCAUCGGGUACGGGCAGACUAGAGUGCGGUAGGGGAGACUGGAAUUCCUGGUGUAGCGGUGGAAUGCGCAGAUAUCAGGAGGAACACCGGUGGCGAAGGCGGGUCUCUGGGCCGAUACUGACGCUGAGGAGCGAAAGCGUGGGGAGCGAACAGGAUUAGAUACCCUGGUAGUCCAUGCUGUAAACGUUGGGCGCUAGGUGUGGGGACCCUUCCCGGGUUUCUGUGCCGUAGCUAACGCAUUAAGCGCCCCGCCUGGGGAGUACGG